CCCGAGGUUAAGAUCAGGAAAAUGAUUCCUAACCUUCUCUUUGAAAUCCUCGAUCCCCUAUAGGUACGAGGCCGAUCUGAACACUGUCUGGAUGUCUAGGAACUUGUUCAAGGAAUGAAAAGCUUUGACUGUGGUGACUUUAGCAGCCUCCAACUUCUCCUUCCACUUAUUAUUUUCUGUGGAUAGAUGAGCUUUUGCGUCAGCUCGAGCCUUGGCGAGCUCAAACUCAAGCCAUUUCACCUCG
rnacentral:lncRNA from 1 species